rnacentral:rRNA from 1 species
CCUACGGGAGGCAGCAGUGGGGAAUAUUGCACAAUGGGGGAAACCCUGAUGCAGCGACGCCGCGUGGGUGACGAAGUAUUUCGGUAUGUAAAGCCCUAUCAGCAGGGAAGAAGAUGACAGUACCUGACUAAGAAGCCCCGGCUAACUACGUGCCAGCAGCCGCGGUAAUACGUAGGGGGCAAGCGUUAUCCGGAUUUACUGGGUGUAAAGGGAGCGUAGGUGGCAUGGCAAGACAGAAGUGAAAACGCGGGGCUCAACCCCGCGGAUUGCUUUUGGAACUGUCAGGCUGGAGUGCAGGAGGGGCAUGCGGAAUUCCUGGUGUAGCGGUGAAAUGCGUAGAUAUCAGGAGGAACACCGGUGGCGAAGGCGGCCUACUGGACUGUAACUGACGCUGAGGCUCGAAAGCGUGGGGAGCAAACAGGAUUAGAUACCCGAGUAGUC